UACAGGGGGGGCAAGCGUUGUUCGGAAUUACUGGGCGUAAAGGGCUCGUAGGCGGCCAACUAAGUCCGACGUGAAAUCCCAAGGCUUAACCUUGGAACUGCGUCGGAUACUGGAUGGCUUGAAUUCGGGAGAGGGAUGCAGAAUUCCAGGUGUAGCGGUGAAAUGCGUAGAUAUCUGGAGGAAUACCGGUGGCGAAGGCGGCAUCCUGGACCGACAUUGACGCUGAGGAGCGAAAGCUAGGGGAGCAAACGGG
rnacentral:rRNA from 1 species